rfam:Mustela putorius furo unplaced genomic scaffold scaffold00094, whole genome shotgun sequence.
AGCUCCCUCCUGUGGUCGCUGUGGCAGCACAUUGGAACAACACAGAGAAGAUUAGCAUGGCCCCUACUUGAGGAUGACACACAAUUUAAUGGAGCAAUCCACCAAAAA